rnacentral:rRNA from 1 species
AUUGAACGCUGGCGGCAGGCCUAACACAUGCAAGUCGAGCGGAUGACGGGAGCUUGCUCCUCGAUUCAGCGGCGGACGGGUGAGUAAUACCUAGGAAUCUGCCUGAUAGUGGGGGACAACGUUUCGAAAGGAACGCUAAUACCGCAUACGUCCUACGGGAGAAAGCAGGGGACCUUCGGGCCUUGCGCUAUCAGAUGAGCCUAGGUCGGAUUAGCUAGUUGGUGAGGUAAUGGCUCACCAAGGCGACGAUCCGUAACUGGUCUGAGAGUAUUAGCAGUCACACUGGAACUGGGACACGGUCCAGGCUCCUACGGGAGGCAGCAGUGGGGAAUAUUGGACAAUGGGCGAAAGCCUGAUCCAGCCAUGCCGCGUGUGUGAAGAAGGUCUUCGGAUUGUAAAGCACUUUAAGUUGGGAGGAAGGGCAGUAAGCUAAUACCUUGCUGUUUUGACGUUACCGACAGAAUAAGCACCGGCUAACUCUGUGCCAGCCGCCGCGGUAAAAC